AGAGUUUGAUCAUGGCUCAGAUUGAACGCUGGCGGCAGGCCUAACACAUGCAAGUCGAGCGGUAGCACAGAGAGCUUGCUCUCGGGUGACGAGCGGCGGACGGGUGAGUAAUGUCUGGGAAACUGCCUGAUGGAGGGGGAUAACUACUGGAAACGGUAGCUAAUACCGCAUAACGUCGCAAGACCAAAGUGGGGGACCUUCGGGCCUCAUGCCAUCAGAUGUGCCCAGAUGGGAUUAGCUGGUAGGUGGGGUAACGGCUCACCUAGGCGACGAUCCCUAGCUGGUCUGAGAGGAUGACCAGCCACACUGGAACUGAGACACGGUCCAGACUCCUACGGGAGGCAGCAGUGGGGAAUUUUGGACAAUGGGGGCAACCCUGAUCCAGCCAUGCCGCGUGCGGGAAGAAGGCCUUCGGGUUGUAAACCGCUUUUGUCAGGGACGAAAAGGUGCGGGUUAAGAGCUAGCACUGAUGACGGUACCUGAAGAAUAAGCACCGGCUAACUACGUGCCAGCAGCCGCGGUAAUACGUAGGGUGCGAGCGUUAAUCGGAAUUACUGGGCGUAAAGCGUGCGCAGGCGGUUGGGUAAGACAGAUGUGAAAUCCCCGGGCUUAACCUGGGAACUGCAUUUGUGACUGUCCGACUGGAGUAUGUCAGAGGGGGGUGGAAUUCCAAGUGUAGCAGUGAAAUGCGUAGAUAUUUGGAAGAACACCGAUGGCGAAGGCAGCCUCCUGGGAUAAUACUGACGCUCAUGCACGAAAGCGUGGGGAGCAAACAGGAUUAGAUACCCUGGUAGUCCACGCCCUAAACGAUGUCUACUGGUUGUUGGAGGGUAAAAC
rnacentral:rRNA from 1 species